UACGUAGGGGGCAAGCGUUGUCCGGAUUUAUUGGGCGUAAAGAGCGUGUAGGCGGUCAGGUGAGUCCGUUGUGAAAACUCGAGGCUCAACCUCGAGACGCCGAUGGAAACCAUCUGACUAGAGUCCGGAAGAGGAGAGUGGGAAUUCCUGGUGUAGCGGUGAAAUGCGCAGAUAUCAGGAGGAACACCGAUGGCGAAGGCAGCUCGCUGGGACGGUACGACGCUGAGGCGCCGAAAGCGUGGGGAGCAAACAGG
rnacentral:rRNA from 1 species